AUUGAACGCUGGCGGCAGGCCUAACACAUGCAAGUCGAGCGAGCGGCGGACGGGUGAGUAAUGCCUGGGAAUUGCCCAGUCGAGGGGGAUAACAGUUUGAAACGACUUCUAAUACCGCAUACGAUUGGAUUGCCCAGGUGGGUUUGGCUAGUUGGUGAGGUAAUGGCUCACCAAGGAGACGAUCCCUAGCUGGUCUGAGAGGAUGAUCAGCCAAACUGGAACGGAUACACGGUCCAGACUCCUACGGGAGGCAGCAGUGGGGAAUAUUGCAAAAUGGGGGAAACCCGGAUGCAGACAUGCCGCGUGUGUGAAGAAGGCCUUCGGGUUGUAAAGCACUUUAAGCGAGGAGGCGUUACUCGCAGAAGAAGCACCGGCUAACUCCGUGCCAGCAGCCGCGUUAAUAC
rnacentral:rRNA from 1 species